GUCUCUUUGUAGUAGAUUAUUUUAAAGUGUAUAUAAAGAGUCGGACCUGCCCGGUGACAUAUAGUUAAACGGCCGCGGUACCCUAACCGUGCAAAGGUAGCAUAAUCAUUUGCCUUUUAAUUGGAGGCUGGUAUGAAUGGUUUGACGAGAGCUAAGCUGUCUCUUUUUUGAAUAUUUAGAAAUUAACUUUUAGGUGAAGAGGCCUAAAUUUGUUUAAGGGACAAGAAGACCCUGUUGAGCUUUAGUGAUUCUGCAAAUUUAUAUCUAUUUGGCUAAAAAUAAGUUAAAUAGUUUGCUAAAAUUUUAAUUACUAUGUAUAUUGAUUAUUUGUAGUGAAUCUUUAGUUGGGGCGACUAAGGAACAUAUAAAGCUUCCUUUAAUGAGUUGGUUGAUUUAGUAACUAGUAUUUUGAUGCUGAUAUGUUAUUUUGAUCCAGGUUAUUCUGAUCAAGAGAAAAAGUUACCACAGGGAUAACAGCGUAAUCUUUCUGGAGAGAUCUUAUCGAAAGGAGGGUUUGCGACCUCGAUGUUGGACUAAGAUAUCCUAAGGGUGUAGAAGCUCUUGAUGGUUGGUCU
rnacentral:rRNA from 1 species